AGCUGUUCUACAUUAAUGCAGUACUCAUCAGAAUGUGCAAGAUGCUCCCUGGGAAUGCUUGUUAAAGGGGAGAAGUACUUCUGUCUGCAUCUAGUGAAGUCAGCCCUAUAGUAGAUGAAAUACUAAACUGCUCUGGCCAGAGAUUACACAUCCUGAUGCUCACAGAGUCUUCCAUAGAACAUAUUGCAAGGCAUAAGCAGGCAGCAGAAGUAGAGCUCUCUUGUGAGAUACAGGACCAUAGAUUUGCCAAAAGAGAACCAUUCGAACUUUGCUCUGUGUGCAGGUGUGUGUGACCAUACUCCCAAUAAGCUAUUUGUUUUUCUUUAAAUGCCUAGCUGUGUUUAUGUGUUUGAGAAAUCAGUGUUUUUUCAUCUCUAAAGAGAUUCUGUGCUUGAUAGUAGUUUUGUUUUGCUUGGAUAGUUACAUGCAUCUUGUAAAUUUAAUACUCUUUAUCCUUGGUUAUAACUUGUUAAAGACAUAUGUUAACUACAUAAAUAGACUAAUAAAAGUAUGGUCCCUUCUCAACCUAUUUU
rnacentral:lncRNA from 1 species